rnacentral:rRNA from 2 species
UCGAGCGGACAGAUGGGAGCUUGCUCCCUGAUGUUAGCGGCGGACGGGUGAGUAACACGUGGGUAACCUGCCUGUAAGACUGGGAUAACUCCGGGAAACCGGGGCUAAUACCGGAUGGUUGUUUGAACCGCAUGGUUCAGACAUAAAAGGUGGCUUCGGCUACCACUUACAGAUGGACCCGCGGCGCAUUAGCUAGUUGGUGAGGUAACGGCUCACCAAGGCAACGAUGCGUAGCCGACCUGAGAGGGUGAUCGGCCACACUGGGACUGAGACACGGCCCAGACUCCUACGGGAGGCAGCAGUAGGGAAUCUUCCGCAAUGGACGAAAGUCUGACGGAGCAACGCCGCGUGAGUGAUGAAGGUUUUCGGAUCGUAAAGCUCUGUUGUUAGGGAAGAACAAGUGCCGUUCAAAUAGGGCGGCACCUUGACGGUACCUAACCAGAAAGCCACGGCUAACUACGUGCCAGCAGCCGCGGUAAUACGUAGGUGGCAAGCGUUGUCCGGAAUUAUUGGGCGUAAAGGGCUCGCAGGCGGUUUCUUAAGUCUGAUGUGAAAGCCCCCGGCUCAACCGGGGAGGGUCAUUGGAAACUGGGGAACUUGAGUGCAGAAGAGGAGAGUGGAAUUCCACGUGUAGCGGUGAAAUGCGUAGAGAUGUGGAGGAACACCAGUGGCGAAGGCGACUCUCUGGUCUGUAACUGACGCUGAGGAGCGAAAGCGUGGGGAGCGAACAGGAUUAGAUACCCUGGUAGUCCACGCCGUAAACGAUGAGUGCUAAGUGUUAGGGGGUUUCCGCCCCUUAGUGCUGCAGCUAACGCAUUAAGCACUCCGCCUGGGGAGUACGGUCGCAAGACUGAAACUCAAGG